GAUGAACGCUGGCGGCGUGCCUAAUACAUGCAAGUCGAGCGAACAGACGAGGAGCUUGCUCCUCUGACGUUAGCGGCGGACGGGUGAGUAACACGUGGAUAACCUACCUAUAAGACUGGGAUAACUUCGGGAAACCGGAGCUAAUACCGGAUAAUAUAUUGAACCGCAUGGUUCAAUAGUGAAAGGCGGUUUUGCUGUCACUUAUAGAUGGAUCCGCGCCGCAUUAGCUAGUUGGUAAGGUAACGGCUUACCAAGGCAACGAUGCGUAGCCGACCUGAGAGGGUGAUCGGCCACACUGGAACUGAGACACGGUCCAGACUCCUACGGGAGGCAGCAGUAGGGAAUCUUCCGCAAUGGGCGAAAGCCUGACGGAGCAACGCCGCGUGAGUGAUGAAGGUCUUCGGAUCGUAAAACUCUGUUAUUAGGGAAGAACAAAUGUGUAAGUAACUAUGCACGUCUUGACGGUACCUAAUCGGAAAGCCACGGCUAACUACGUGCCAGCCGCCGCAGUAA
rnacentral:rRNA from 1 species